rnacentral:rRNA from 1 species
UUGAACGCUGGCGGCAGGCCUAACACAUGCAAGUCGAGCGGUAGCACAGAGAGCUUGCUCUCGGGUGACGAGCGGCGGACGGGUGAGUAAUGUCUGGGAAACUGCCUGAUGGAGGGGGAUAACUACUGGAAACGGUAGCUAAUACCGCAUAACGUCGCAAGACCAAAGUGGGGGACCUUCGGGCCUCAUGCCAUCAGAUGUGCCCAGAUGGGAUUAGCUAGUAGGUGGGGUAACGGCUCACCUAGGCGACGAUCCCUAGCUGGUCUGAGAGGAUGACCAGCCACACUGGAACUGAGACACGGUCCAGACUCCUACGGGAGGCAGCAGUGGGGAAUAUUGCACAAUGGGCGCAAGCCUGAUGCAGCCAUGCCGCGUGUGUGAAGAAGGCCUUCGGGUUGUAAAGCACUUUCAGCGGGGAGGAAGGCGAUAAGGUUAAUAACCUUGUCGAUUGACGUUACCCGCAGAAGAAGCACCGGCUAACUCCGUGCCAGCAGCCGCGGUAAUACGGAGGGUGCAAGCGUUAAUCGGAAUUACUGGGCGUAAAGCGCACGCAGGCGGUCUGUCAAGUCGGAUGUGAAAUCCCCGGGCUCAACCUGGGAACUGCAUUCGAAACUGGCAGGCUAGAGUCUUGUAGAGGGGGGUAGAAUUCCAGGUGUAGCGGUGAAAUGCGUAGAGAUCUGGAGGAAUACCGGUGGCGAAGGCGGCCCCCUGGACAAAGACUGACGCUCAGGUGCGAAAGCGUGGGGAGCAAACAGGAUUAGAUACCCUGGUAGUCCACGCCGUAAACGAUGUCGAUUUGGAGGUUGUGCCCUUGAGGCGUGGCUUCCGGAGCUAACGCGUUAAAUCGACCGCCUGGGGAGUACGGCCGCAAGGUUAAAACUCAAAUGAAUUGACGGGGGCCCGCACAAGCGGUGGAGCAUGUGGUUUAAUUCGAUGCAACGCGAAGAACCUUACCUGGUCUUGACAUCCACGGAACUUUCCAGAGAUGGAUUGGUGCCUUCGGGAACUGUGAGACAGGUGCUGCAUGGCUGUCGUCAGCUCGUGUUGUGAAAUGUUGGGUUAAGUCCCGCAACGAGCGCAACCCUUAUCCUUUGUUGCCAGCGGUUAGGCCGGGAACUCAAAGGAGACUGCCAGUGAUAAACUGGAGGAAGGUGGGGAUGACGUCAAGUCAUCAUGGCCCUUACGACCAGGGCUACACACGUGCUACAAUGGCAUAUACAAAGAGAAGCGACCUCGCGAGAGCAAGCGGACCUCAUAAAGUAUGUCGUAGUCCGGAUUGGAGUCUGCAACUCGACUCCAUGAAGUCGGAAUCGCUAGUAAUCGUAGAUCAGAAUGCUACGGUGAAUACGUUCCCGGGCCUUGUACACACCGCCCGUCACACCAUGGGAGUGGGUUGCAAAAGAAGUAGGUAGCUUAACCUUCGGGAGGGCGCUUACCACUUUGUGAUUCAUGACUGGGGUG